AUUGAACGCUGGCGGCACGCCUAACACAUGCAAGUCGAGCGGCAGCGCGAUAUGUAGCAAUACAUAUUGGCGGCGAGCGGCGGACGGGUGAGGAACACGUAGGAACCUACCCUCGAGUGGGGGAUAACCAAGGGAAACUUUGGCUAAUACCGCAUGAACUCGAGAGAGCAAAGCUGCCGCAAGGUGGCGCUCGAGGAGGGGCCUGCGUCCGAUUAGCUAGUUGGUGAGGUAAGAGCUCACCAAGGCGAUGAUCGGUAACUGGUCUGAGAGGACGACCAGUCACACUGGGACUGAGACACGGCCCAGACUCCUACGGGAGGCAGCAGUGGGGAAUAUUGGACAAUGGGGGCAACCCUGAUCCAGCGAUGCCGCGUGAGUGAAGAAGGCCUUCGGGUCGUAAAGCUCUUUAGGUUGGGAAGAAGGGUGAUGGAGGAAAUGCUAUCACUUUGACGGUACCGACAGAAUAAGCACCGGCAAACUCUGUGCCAGCCGCCGCCGUAAUAC
rnacentral:rRNA from 1 species